UGAGGGCAUCUUCAAGAGGUGGAAGGUGAGUGUCAAAGCAACAGAGAUCUAGGGAAGGAGAGAGAGAGAACGAUGAAAGAAAUGAGAGAGGGUGACCGUUGACGGCCAUUUACUCCGGCCGACCGUCUUAGUACUCCGACGAGUAGCUUUAGGCUCGAGUAUCACACUCGAUCAUCCACAGACAAACCCCUUCUCGAUGAAUUCUCACGGUGGCGGCAGCUCUAGGGUUCCGGCUAUUAAACCCGGCGGCGACCACAACCGACGGUCCACAGAUGCGCCGUUGGACUAAGUUCCUGGGUUCUGGCCGCCAGUCAAUUUUUGGGUGAAGUCUCAGGCAUGUGUCGUUUUCUUGCAGAUUGGUAACUGCCAAGACACCUUCAGUAAGAAUUUGGCUAUACUUGAGUGAAGAUGUAAUUGCAGGCAAGUGUGAUCGAAGCAUCAUUAGAAGCUAAUCUGGGGAACUGACUUGGAUGUCAAGUGGUAAGGUAACUUUAUUUAGUAUGUCUUAAUUAUACUUGGUAUUAAACAUGCAAGCCUAUGUGCGGUUUGUUUAUUUGGCACUAUGUUAUUGGGUUUUUUUUUUUUUGUGUCCUUAUUUGUUACCUUACUUUGUUGUUAGAUUGAUGGUUUAAAAAAAGCCGUUGGGGCGCAUGCCUCGAGGUGAUGAUCCCUAUUGUAAAAGUCCCGCUUAGGCUCCGAGUACUCCCCGAGUACUCGCUACAAGGCAGGCUGCCGAGGCACAAGUACUCUUCUCCCAGGCCAAUUACUCCCCGAGUAAUCUCCGCCUAAGCCGAGUACUCCCGAAUCUGACUAGGGAGCGCCUAGCGACUUUUACAACCAUGCCUAUUCGUUAUCUUACUUUAUGUCUAUGAAUGGUAUGUGAAUGCCUAAUUUCAUGAUUAACAAAUGGGUUCGUGAAUGAAUCAAGCAUUAAUUAGUUGCAGCAAGAUUUCGAUAGCUUGAAAAUAAAACAAAAGUUUCGCGUGUCGCAUCCUCUAGAAAACGAUGUGUCGCGCCUCUGGUCUCUUCGAAUGUAAGUGGUUUGCUGACAUACGACAACCAAAAGUAAUCAUCGGCGACAGUUGAUCCUUCAAUCGCCCCCGCGCUAGCAGAGGUUGCUUCUGAUUUUUUAUCCCGGUACUAUCAACUCUCGCGGGUCACAGCUGCCCAGUGUUUUCGGUUGGAUUUCAGGUUUACAUAUAGGUUCACCGAUGGAUCCAUUAGUUCUUCAGUCUGGUUCGCGCAAUGAUUCUUCACGAAUUAAUAGAGGAUAGGAUGGGUCAGCGGAAAUGGUAAAGCUUCUCUGAGCGAGGGUAUUGAAUAGAACAAGGCGGACUGUGGCGAUGUCGUUACGAUUAACGUACGGUGCUCAGACUUCACCAAUUUUUCCGGUCAGCCGAGCCUUGAAGAUGCAAACACCGAAUUCCUUUUACUCAUUGGACUAGCACUCGAUUGCGCCUCUUUUCAACUUACGCACAUCCUGUUUACAUGCUUUUGUUGGGGUUUUUUUGGCGCAUGCAAGUUACUUUAUACACGUUAUAAUGAUAAUGGUAACCCAAUUUGAGUUCAGCCCAUCUCAACAAUAGAGGAAUUACAUUGGCCAAACUGUGCAACCAAACUGUAGACAAAUCGUGAGUAACGAUAAGAUCAACCAGCAACUAUUUCAAACUACCUGUGACGACUUACCCUCAUUUAUUUGAUUCCGUAACAUAUGAAAGGCUAAAUUAUUUUCACACAUCACCUGCAUGAUAUUUUUCAGCUGGUUUAGUUAGAGUUGGUGAAGUGGCAACUUAGGUAGUUGGUUAAAACAAUUUAGGUAGAAACCCUUGCCCAUCAAAUCCGUAGCCGAAUGAUAAUUAGGCUUCCAAGUCUUUUAUCAGGGUAUGAUUGAUUAUUGGAAACAAUUUUCUAGAAAGCACACUGCAAAGGUAUUCAUAUUUUUGGGUAUGUAAUUCACUUGAUACUUCAAAAGAAAGAACAAAUAACUGUAUUCACUUGA